rnacentral:rRNA from 1 species
UACGUAGGGUGCAAGCGUUAAUCGGAAUUACUGGGCGUGAAGCGUGCGCAGGCGGUUUUGUAAGUCUGUCGUGAAAGCCCCGGGCUCAACCUGGGAAUUGCGAUGGAGACUGCAAGGCUUGAAUCUGGCAGAGGGGGGUAGAAUUCCACGUGUAGCAGUGAAAUGCGUAGAGAUGUGGAGGAACACCGAUGGCGAAGGCAGCCCCCUGGGUCAAGAUUGACGCUCAUGCACGAAAGCGUGGGGAGCAAACAGG